GCCUCUGUAGCUCACAUCUUCAAGCACUGGCCUUGUAAUCCAACGGUCGAGAGUUCAAUUCUCUCCAGAGGCU
rnacentral:tRNA from 1 species